UACAGAGGGGGCAAGCGUUGUUCGGAAUUACUGGGCGUAAAGGGCGCGUAGGUGGCCUUCUAAGUCGAACGUGAAAUCCCUGGGCUCAACCCAGGAACUGCGUCCGAUACUGGAAGGCUUGAAUCCGGGAGAGGGAUGCGGAAUUCCAGGUGUAGCGGUGAAAUGCGUAGAUAUCAAGAGGAACACCUGCGGCGAAGGCGGGUUGCUGGGCCGACACUGACGCUGAUGCGCGAAAGCCAGGGGAGCGAACGGG
rnacentral:rRNA from 1 species